AAGAAGGGGGCAAGCGUUGUUAGGAAUAACUGGGCGAAAAGGGUGCGUAGGAGGUUAUGUAAGUCGGAUGUGAAACCCCCUGGCUUAACUAGGGAUCUGAAUUAGAAACUGCAUAGCUUGAGUACGGGGGAAGAGAGUGGAAUUCUCAGUGUAGCGGUGAAAUGCGUAGAUAUUGAGAAGAACACCUGUGGCGAAAGCGGCUCUCUACCUUGAUACUGACACUGAGGCACGAAAGCUAGGGUAGCAAACGG
rnacentral:rRNA from 1 species